GUGCAAACAUUUUAAUGUUUUCUGUUCAUAUGUACUCUUUGUAAGGAUAAGUUAAUGUUUAUUUUACUUUACACCAAUUUAUUGAAAUUAUUGAAUAAUACAUUUAAUUUGUAACAAUUGGUUACUUCUUGUUUUGUUUUUCGUGGUAAAUUGUCACUAUUAAAAUUCUAUUCAGCAUUGUUACAUGUAUCAUGUUUAGUAAAAAGCUUUGUGAUGCGUUAUUUUUUCUUCACAUGGUUUUUUUUGUUAAUUCCUCAUUUAUACAUAAUUAUCAAGGACUCCAAAGCUAGUGUUCUAAACACAAAAUAUUUUACGAUGUUAGAUGAAGAUUUAUUGUUAUGCUGUUUAAACUUGUCUGUGUGUAAUUUUCUCUAAAUUCUUUUUAUUUUUCAUGCAUUAUGUGUAAGAAGAAUGCAUAGAUUUAAAGUUAAUUUUGUUAUUUUUAGCUGACUAAUUAUUUAUGAAUUGUUUUGAGUUAAGUUGACCAUUUGUUAUUAAAAUUUGUUAAACCGUC
rnacentral:sRNA from 1 species